rnacentral:misc_RNA from 1 species
GAUGAAGAACGUAGCGAAAUGCGAUACUUGGUGUGACUUGCAGAAUCCCGUGAACCAUCGAGUCUUUGAACGCAAGUUGCGCCCGAAGCCAUUAGGCCGAGGGCACGCCUGCCUGGGCGUCACACGUCGUUGCCCCCCCAUCUACUCCUUCGGGAUUGCGGGGGGCGGAUGAUGGCCUCUCGUGCGCCUCGUCGCGCGGUUGGCCUAAAUGCCAAGUCCUCGGCGACGCACGCCACGACAAUCGGUGGUUGCGAAACCUCGGUUGCCUGUCGUGUGCGGUCGUCGCGCAUCGAGGGCUCGAAAAAAUUGCCGGGCUUCGGCUCGACUUUCAACGCGACCCCAGGUCAGGCGGGGUUACCCGCUGAAUUUAAGCAUAUCAAUAAGCGGAGGA